GGAGAAAAUUCCAAAGAAAUGUUAAAAAAUAAAAAUACCACCAAUAAGGUCAAUCUAUCUAUAUAUCUAUACUAUCAAUAAGGUCAAUAGGAUACAAAGUUAAUAUAUAAAAUAAAUUGCUUUCCUAUAUUCCGCAAACAAACAUUUCAGAAAUUUAAAAAAGAAUGAUGCAAUCACAAUAGCACCAAAAACCUUUUUCAUUAGCACCAAAAAAUGAAUUACUUAUGUAUAAAUAUAUAGAGAGUCUAUAGGUAGAAAUCUACAAA
rnacentral:lncRNA from 10 species